GAUGAACGCUAGCGGGAGGCUUAACACAUGCAAGUCGAGGGGCAGCAUAGGGUAGCAAUACUCUGAUGGCGACCGGCAAACGGGUGAGUAACGCGUAUGUAACCUACCCUGUACAGGGGGAUAACCCGGAGAAAUUCAGACUAAUAUCCCAUAACAAUAUCCGGGGGCAUCUUUGGAUAUUUAAAGUUCCGGCGGUACGGGAUGGGCAUGCGUAACAUUAGCUAGUUGGUAAGGUAACGGCUUACCAAGGCUUUGAUGUUUAGGGGUCCUGAGAGGGUGGUCCCCCACACUGGUACUGAGACACGGACCAGACUCCUACGGGAGGCAGCAGUGAGGAAUAUUGGUCAAUGGGCGCAAGCCUGAACCAGCCAUCCCGCGUGCAGGAAGACGGCGCUAUGCGUUGUAAACUGCUUUUCCAGGGAGAGAAACUUGCGCACGUGUUGCGCAAUUGACGGUACCCUGGGAAUAAGCAUCGGCUAACUCCGUGCCAGCAGCCGCGGUAAUCUGU
rnacentral:rRNA from 1 species